ACGAACGCUGGCGGCGUGCUUCACACAUGCAAGUCGAACGGAAAGGCCCUGCUUUUGUGGGGUGCUCGAGUGGCGUACGGGUGAGUAACACGUGAGUAACCUGCCCUUGACUUUGGGAUAACUUCAGGAAACUGGGGCUAAUACCGGAUAGGAGCUCCUGCUGCAUGGUGGGGGUUGGAAAGUUUCGGCGGUUGGGGAUGGACUCGCGGCUUAUCAGCUUGUUGGUGGGGUAGUGGCUUACCAAGGCUUUGACGGGUAGCCGGCCUGAGAGGGUGACCGGCCACAUUGGGACUGAGAUACGGCCCAGACUCCUACGGGAGGCAGCAGUGGGGAAUAUUGCACAAUGGGCGGAAGCCUGAUGCAGCAACGCCGCGUGCGGGAUGACGGCCUUCGGGUUGUAAACCGCUUUCGCCUGUGACGAAGCGUGAGUGACGGUAAUGGGUAAAGAAGCACCGGCUAACUACGUG
rnacentral:rRNA from 1 species